rnacentral:lncRNA from 1 species
CUCUUUCUCUCUCCACCAAACUAUUUAUCUCCCUUCCAUUUAUAUCUUUCUCGGCCAUUCAAUUUCUCUCUCCGCCGUACCGACAAUGGCCGGCAAGCGCAAGAGCAAGUCUUCGCCCUCUGAAGCUCCUCCAUCCAAUUCCGCUUCAGCCAAUAAGCUGAAGCGUACUGAGGAGCCGAUAGCUAAAAAAGAGGUCGCAGAGAGUAUGGAAAAAACUGCUUCUCCGCCGAGGAAGCUCAAGGGUAAAGCGGUCGCCGUCAAAGAUGGAGAGGAGCCUGAAGCCAAGUUUCUUGGCAAACCGGUGAAAGAUACAGAGGCUCGAAAGAGGUGGCCAAAACGGUACCUGGGAAAGGUGAAAGAUUUUCUUACUAGUUUUUGGAUUCUUGAGAGGUUUUGUUAUUUUUCUUGAAAACGACAAACAUAUUAGUUCAAAUAAUGUAAGUUUCUAGGAAACUGUGUUAUAAGUCUUUGUAAGUUUAAACGUUAGUAUAAGUUUACUUAAAUUGAUUAGUAAUUUUUGUUAAAACUUCAAUAAGAACAAUAUAUUUAGGCUUAGUUCAGUAAAGACAGACAAUUUGUGGUAAGUGACUCAUGAGAUGGUCGUAGUAAGAAAUCGAAUGCUCCAAGAAAUGCCUUUUCUGAAACAUUUCUGUACUCCAGAGCAACAAUACGUUAGCUUGAUUGAUACCUAUUGUUUGCCCAUUUUCUGAACCCUUAGGCUCUCUUUGGAGGAAAGGAGGAAAGGAUUCCAAAUCUAUGGCUCCAUUAGAGUUUUGUAGAAACAAAAGCUGUUACAAUCAUUAAUAGGAAGAUUACAGCUCCGAGACAUUGAACAAAUUCCCUGCAUUUUUGGAUUGAAGGUAGUCUCCAAGAAAUUAAAGGGGAAGGUUUAGGAGAGAGAUCAAAGGUGUUUUCUUUAUUUGCAUUUUUGUGACUUAUUGAAUUUUAAUUGGUAUGUGUGUUUUUUCCACUGGGACGAACCGAUUAUUGCCGAAAAGCUCGAACAGUGGGUUUUAUAUUUUUAAUUAAGUGUUCGGCUGUCAGAAAAUCAGUUUUAGCUCUAUUUGGAGCUUGGCAGUGCUUCUAGUUGCAGAUGUAUGAAUCAUUGGGAUUACUAAUUUAAUAUUUUCGUUUUUAAGUGUGAUGAACAAAAUUGUUAUUGGACACUUUUUAGGUUAUGGGGUACUCAGUGCUUCAAUGUGAAUAUGUAUGAUGCACUAGAGUUCGGUAAAUUAGAAUACCUUAUAGGUGUUACCAAAGUAUUAUUAGGCCUGCUGGAGCUGACCUAGCCAAGUCCUAAAUUCACUUUUGCACCCACCCAUGCCACUUGGGCUAAUCCCAAGGGCAUUUGGAUUUUAUGCUGUUUUUUACUUUUAACAGUGUUCUUGGUAUUGUUGUAGAUGAAGCAGGUGUCUGGGCCAAACAACUCAAACCAGUAAGUUUUUUAUUCUAUUUCAAGUUUGUGUCUUUUUGUACAUCAUUAUUUUUUUCAUUUUUCUCAAAGAUAUUUCUUUUCACUUUUAAAAGCCCCUUGUCAGUAUUUCAUUGCUACCUAUAUGCUUUUCAUUUUGUAUCUUUGGUAUUUCAUAUUUUGAUAUCUUUGAAACAGAGAUGAAGAUGCAAUUCAGGCUCGUGGCCAUUACAUAAAGGCAGAGGUUGAUGGACGAAACAUAUUUGAUCUGUAUGAUGAUGCUCAUGUACAAGUGAGUUUGCAUUAUUAUUAUUAUUAUUAUUAUUAUUAUUAUUAUUAUUAUUUUCUUGUAUUUGUACUUUUGUGAAAUAUUCCUGCCUCUGUUUUUCAUUAAUAAUGUGGACACAUUCACUUUGUUGAUUGUGCUCCAUAUUGUUGAUUGUAUAAUCAAAGUAACAAUUAGUUAUCCAUUUGGUUAUUGUCAUGACUGUUUUCUGUUUAUCGGAAACAUCAUGUUUGGGUACUCGUUUGAAAACAAUAAGAUGACUGAUGACAAAGGCUCAGAUUUGGUUCUUUUUGUGCACUGAUAUACUUGAACCUUUUUUUUUUUUGGGGUGCUUGCCUGUGUUUUCACCUAAGAAACUCAAAGUUUUUGUCAGGAUGCCAUUUGUUUGAUAGGUGCGAUUAUUGCAUGGCUAGGUAGCAAUACCAACCUUUUACAAAUUAAUUCCAACAGUGCAAAUGGUGUAUAUAUAUAUAUAUAUAUGUGUGUGUGUGAUAAGAUUCAUAUGCACUAUAAUUGAAAUUGACAAAUUGUUAGAUUUUGUACUAUAUUGCAUUGUUCGAGAGUGAACUAGAAACAUUUCCUGGGAAAUUGGGCCUUAAAUGCUUUUGUAUACUUGCCUAUUCAUGAAUUGACGACUUUCUGUAUUCAUUUUUAUGUUUAGGCAGGGGAUGGAAACGAACCCUACGUUUGUAAGAUCGUGGAAAUGUUUGAGGCGAUUGAUGGGACAUUAUAUUUUACUGCACAAUGGUACUAUAGAUCACCAGACACUGUAAGAUAUUCCCAAAGAAUCCUCUUCAUGAUUCUCUUUUCAAAUACUUCGAGUUUUUUAUUUCUUUAUGUGGAACAAUAAGAAGCUAUUUAUUGUGUGCUAAAUUAUAACAUUAAUUUUUUUUUUUUUUUUGGGGGCUUUCUUGUAGGUCAUAAAAGAGUGUGCUACAAUUGAUAGGAGGCGUGUAUUUUUAUCAGAGAUUCAAGAUGUCAACCCUCUCGAUUGUCUUGUUGAAAAACUUAACAUUGUUAGAUUGUCUUUAAAUGUAUGGUUUAAGUUUCCACAAUCAUCCAUUUUUUGUUGUUGUUCAUAUUAGUCCAAUAAGAAUUAAUCACUGUAUUUUCCCAGGUUGAUCAAAAUGAAAAGAGCAAAUUAAUUUCGACAUGCAAGUACUUUUGUGACACAACAUAUUUGUUACCUUAUUCAACUUUCAUGAACUUGCCAGAAGGUUAUCAUCCUCCUUUUGUUUGAUGUCGAUGAAUUGGUCUCUAUUUCAUUUGCAAGGCAUAUCUGUGUUCACAUGUUGUUUUCUGUUAAAAUUUCAGAAAAUAUACAGACGGGAAGUGAUGACUCAACAAUUUCUAGUGAGGCUGAUGUGGACCGAGCUUGUGAGGUUAACUCCGAAGGUGCUGAUGUGGACAAAGCUUGUCAGGUUAAUUCCAAAGUUGCCCAACUCUGCCCUGUUAGAGAGUGUGGCAAACCAGAAGUCACAUUGCUUGACCUAUAUUCUGGUUGUGGAGCAAUGUCAACUGGGUUGUGCCUUGGUGCACAAUUGUCUAAUGUAAAUCUGGUUACAGUAAGUCCAAUUUCCUUGAUUAAUGUCUUCUAAAAUUUUCAACAUUAGUUCACCAAUAAUCAUGGAGAUUCGAUAGCUGAAUAAAACUCAACUUGUUAGAUGUUGUACACAAUGAAGUCCGCAUACAUGUGAGAGGAUGAGGUUGACAAAGUUUAAGUUGCCACAUUAUUAGCAAAUGAGAAUCUACAAAAAUAUGCAAAAUAUUAAUUCCAUCCAUCCAUUUAUAAUUUCUCGUUAAUAUCUUUGAUUUCUUGUUUAAAUCUUUUAGAGAUGGGCUGUUGACGUAAAUGAGCAUGCUUGCCAAAGUCUCAAACUUAACCACCCAGAGACAGAGGUAUGUGUUUGUAGCUUACUUUUUCCCUCCUUUUGAUGUGGUGCUUUGCACGCUUAACUUGUCUAAUUCACAUACCAUAACAGGUUAGAAAUGAAUCCGCCGAAGAUUUUCUCUCAUUGCUGAAGGAGUGGAGAAAACUUUGCUUUUAUUUUAACUUGGUUGAGACCAAGGACUCAGAGAAUGAUCAGUUUGACUUUUUUGAAACGGAAGACGAAGAGGAGGAAGAAGAAGAUGGUGAUAGUGGAAAUGAUGAGAAUGAUAGUGAUGAUCCUGAAUUUGAAGUUGCUUACGUACUAGAAGUAUGUUAUGGUGACCCCAACAAGAUAAAGAAGAGAGGAUUGUACUUUAAGGUAUGGAAAUAAUUUGUAGUCUUAUGUUAUUUUGUUUUUUGCCAUAGGAGCAGUUGUUUAUAAAUGAUUGAAGCUUUUCAGUUAUGGUUUAAUCCUCAAGUUCAUAGUCUCUGCUUGGCCUUUAUACAAACACGAGGCGUAAAGUGUGGGUUCAAUUCUCUCUCUCUCUCUCUCUCUCUCUCUCUCAUGAAAAAAAAAUUAUUGACACUGAAACGGCACGGGUUUCAUUGUAUGAUAUGGAAAAUGGAAAGAUAAUCUAAAAGUACAAGCUGUUCACUGAUAAAAAAAAUGCUCAAAAUUUUCCAUCGUAAGUAUGUUAGGUCUUCAUUAAUGGAUAUAUCUUAAAUGGGAAUACAAAACUGUGUUUCAUAUGUUGCUACUGUGUGUACCCCUUAACAAUGCAAUCUCUGCUUCCGUGUGCCUUUCAGAUUUAUAAGAAAAUUGCAGAUAACCAAGCAAUUAGUUUUUCACUAGAUAAUAUUAUUUGCUUUCUGAUGUAUUACACAGAUCCGUUGGAAGGGGUAUGGGGAUGACGAAGACACCUGGGAGCCAAUUGAUGGACUGGGGUAUGCAACUAUCUUGAAUUAUGCUUGUAGUAUUAAUAUCUGCCACCUGUUUGUGAGCAUGUAUGUGAUACCUUCUGGCAUGUUUAGUUGUGUCCUAAAGCAUUGCAAUGCAUAUCUUUCUGUCAAGCAGGCAUUGUAGGAAGGCUAUAGGGGACUUUGUUUCUCAACGUUAUGCAUCAAAAGCAUUUCCUUUACCCGUAAGUUUUUAAUUUUCCCCUAACCUUAAAUUUAGAAUUUGCAGAAUUUAAAUAUAAAUUAUUGUCAUUGACGCUUCAUUUAAUAUUGUUCUGGACAUUCUUCAUGUAGGGUGAUGUUGAUGUGGUGUGUGGGGGGCCCCCUUGCCAAGGAAUUAGUGGUUUCAACAGAUUUAGGAACACACAACAACCGUUAGAAGAUGAGAAAAAUAAACAAUUGAUUGUUUUCAUGGAUUUCGUACAGUACCUUAACCCAAAAUUCGUUUUGAUGGAAAAUGUGGUUGAUAUUGUAAAAUUUUCUGAGGGACUCCUUGGACGUUAUGCCUUGGGACGUCUUGUUGGUAUGAACUAUCAAGCUAGGAUGGGAAUGAUGGCAGCAGGUGCAUAUGGGCUUCCCCAGUUUCGUAUGCGUAUGUUUAUGUGGGGGGCCCGUCCUACUGAGGUAUAUUAGUUGAAGUAUUAACUUUUACUAAUAAUGUGCUGGUUUUAUCUCAUGGCCUAAUGUAUUGCUUGAUUUUUGCAGAGGUUGCCUCAGUACCCACUUCCUACACAUGAUGUUGUUGUAAGGGGUGUUAUUCCCACGCAAUUUGAGGUAUGAUAAGUGCUUAAGUUCUAUGUUGUUUAUGGUCGUUUUGUAUUAAACAAUUUGUAAUAAAUGCAGGGGAACACUGUUGCUUAUGAUGAAGGUGGCCCGGUUCAAUUAGAAAGAAAGCUUUUGUUGGAGGAUGCAAUAUCUGACCUUCCUGCUGUAAAGUCUUCUAAUUGUUACUGUUGGGUGUGGUUUACUUUGUUUUUCUACCUUUCUCAAUGUAUAUUUAUCUACCCUGUUUGUAUGUAGGUUGAGAAUAGUGAAAACCGGGAUGAGAUGCCAUAUGCAGGGCCUCCCCAGACAGAAUUUCAGAGGUUUAUCAGACUAAGCAAAGAAUGUAAGAUGCUGCAUUGGUUUUGAACAUUUGAUAUGUCAUUGAUUUGAAACACACUUGUUGAGUUCAACUUCAUGUACCUACUUCCCUGUUGUUUUCUUGCUUUGGUCGCAUGAUGUUUAGCUUAUUGGAGUUAUGACAAUAUGGGCCUCUGUGUUUUGUUUUCCUCUGGGUUUGCUGGCCUGUUCGAAGGAUGCUGGACACUUUGAUAUUGUAACAAUGUGAAAAUGGAAUGAGCUAAUUGCUGUUGUCUGAUUGUAUUGUUACUUUGAUACUGAGUAAUACAGAAACUGAACUCAGCCGAUUACAUCUGCGUGAUUAAAUACUGUAUAUAGAAGUUAAUUAAAUCAGGAAAAUAAACAACUCAAUAUGUCUCAUUCAGUUAAAUAUAAGCCUUGCAUGUUUCAGCCAUUGCUAAAAUGGUUAAUGGUCACACAUAUGCUUGUAAUGAAGUAGCAGUAGAUUCUUAAAAAUAUAUUUGGCAAGAGUUAUGUGUUUGUUGGGAAAACUAUAAUUUCUGUUUGAUUGUUGCUCUUGAUACAGAUUUGCUGGGGUCUUCAAAGGAUGAAUCAUUACACAAGACGCUUUACGAUCACCGUCCCCUAGAGUUGAAUGCAGAUGAUUAUGCACGUGUUUGUGAAAUCCCGAAGAGAAAGGUUCCUUUCUUUACAAUUAAAUGCAUGUUGGCAUGUAUUCCUUUGUCAUUGAUAAAAUCCUGCAAUCUUGAUGUCAGCUUAUAAGUUUAAUAUUUUAUGAACUAGGGUGCAAACUUCAGAGAUCUACCCGGUGUUCGUGUGCGUGUUGAUAACAAGGUUGAGUGGGAUCCUGAUGUAGAAAGAGUGUAUUUGAAGUCCGGGAAACCUUUGGUAAAAACACAUCUUUCUCUGCUGGUUCUUUUGUUUUCCUGCAACUUUACUAUGUGAAUCUCACUCAUGACAUUGUACUGAUAGGUCCCUGAUUACGCUAUGAGUUUUGUGAAGGGGUCUUCAUCAAAGUAAGUUUUAGUACCUUUUUUUGUUUUGUGUUUGGGUUGCAUGGUUCAAUCACUCAACAUAAAUUUUGAAAUCUUCUAUUGCAACUCUGUCAAAUUAUGCAGACCUUUUGCCCGUUUAUGGUGGGAUGAAACCGUACCAACAGUUGUUACUAGAGCUGAGCCCCAUAACCAGGUAUAUGCAUACUUACAUACAAAAAGAUAAAUGUUUUCAGACAAAAAUCAGAAAAGACAACGAGUUAAACACAUUUUCCUUUACUUUUUUACAGGCAAUUUUGCAUCCUGUUCAAGACAGGGUAUUGUCAAUUCGUGAAAAUGCAAGACUUCAAGGUUUCCCAGAUUACUACAAACUUUGUGGCCCUGUCAAGGAGAGGUACCCUAUAUUUUUAUACUUCAGUUCUGUCAUCUCUUGUUAUAUCAAAAUCUACAGGUGGUCUUAUCUCUUCAUGGUUGCAUUGUUUCAGAUACAUUCAAGUUGGCAAUGCCGUUGCCGUUCCAGUUGCACGUGCAUUGGGCUAUGCGCUAGGUCUUGCUUUGAAAGGUUCUGCUGGUGUUGACCCCGUGUUUCCAUUGCCGGAAAAAUUCCCCAAUAUUCAGUGUCAGAUUCAUUCUGCAUCAUCCGAAGAUGAUGCUUGAUUAUUGUUGUAAUAACUUGAUUUGUUAAAGAUUUGAUGAGGGUGGAUUAUUAUUUGUUCCACAACGGGGAACAUUAUUAUGUCAAAUGAAUUUCAAGUGUUCGUCAUUGUUAUGCUAAAAAAAAUUGUAAAAGUACCCAAAGCAUAUAUUGAUUGUGCACCAUUAUAAUGAAACUCAAGCUCAAUGCAUAAAUUCCUCUG